CCUACGGGAGGCAGCAGUAGGGAAUAUUGCUCAAUGGGGGAGACCCUGAAGCAGCAACGCCGCGUGGAGGAUGAAGGUUUUAUGAUUGUAAACUCCUUUUGUGAGAGAAGAUAAUGACGGUAUCUCACGAAUAAGCACCGGCUAACUCCGUGCCAGCAGCCGCGGUAAUACGGCGGGUGCAAGCGUUACUCGGAAUCACUGGGCGUAAAGAGUGCGCAGGCGGGCUUGUAAGUCAGAUGUGAAAGCCUGUAGCUUAACUACAGAACUGCAUUUGAAACUAGGAGUCUAGAGUGUGGGAGAGGUAGGUGGAAUUCUUGGUGUAGGGGUAAAAUGCGUAGAUAUCAAGAGGAAUACUGAUUGCGAAGGCGACCUACUGGAACAUUACUGACGCUCAUGCACGAAAGCGUGGGGAUCAAACAGGAUUAGAUACCCGGGUAGUC
rnacentral:rRNA from 1 species